rnacentral:RNase_P_RNA from 1 species
AAAGACGGGUAUGCAAUCGCUUUACAUUUAUUGUAAAGAGGAAAAUCCGAACUUUAACUGUAAAAAAGCAGAAAACGGUAACAGGUAAUUCCUGUCGCUCAUAAGAGCAGAGGUGCGAACAGAGACGCUUUAUCCGAAGACGGAAAAAGUAUCCUUUUAGGUAAAGUGCUUUUGAUAGAAAUGUUAAAAGUAUCUUUGAAAAGGAUAAAUUUUUGCAGUAAUGCAAAAGGUGAAACGGCUAAAACCUUACUGGAAAGCAAGGCUGAAGUAUAGCCGCUUGAUCGUUAAAAGUAAUUUUAACGGCAGAGAAAUGAUUGCACUUUUAAUUUAUUUUAAAAGACAGAAUUCGGGGUACAACCCGUCUUUAAUG